GAUGAACGCUGGCGGCGUGCCUAAUACAUGCAAGUCGAGCGAACAGACGAGGAGCUUGCUCCUUUGACGUUAGCGGCGGACGGGUGAGUAACACGUAGGUAACCUACCUAUAAGACUGGGAUAACUUCGGGAAACCGGAGCUAAUACCGGAUAAUAUUUCGAACCGCAUGGUUCGAUAGUGAAAGAUGGCUUUGCUAUCACUUAUAGAUGGACCUGCGCCGUAUUAGCUAGUUGGUAAGGUAACGGCUUACCAAGGCAACGAUACGUAGCCGACCUGAGAGGGUGAUCGGCCACACUGGAACUGAGACACGGUCCAGACUCCGACGGGAGGCAGCAGUAGGGAAUCUUCCGCAAUGGGCGAAAGCCUGACGGAGCAACGCCGCGUGAGUGAUGAAGGUCUUCGGAUCGUAAAACUCUGUUAUUAGGGAAGAACAAACGUGUAAGUAACUGUGCACGUCUUGACGGUACCUAAUCAGAAAGCCACGGCUAACUACGUG
rnacentral:rRNA from 1 species